rnacentral:rRNA from 1 species
UACAGAGGGGGCAAGCGUUGUUCGGAAUUACUGGGCGUAAAGGGCGCGUAGGCGGCCGCCUAAGUCAGACGUGAAAUCCCUCGGCUCAACCGGGGAACUGCGUCUGAUACUGGGUGGCUUGAAUCCGGGAGAGGGAUGCGGAAUUCCAGGUGUAGCGGUGAAAUGCGUAGAUAUCUGGAGGAACACCGGUGGCGAAGGCGGCAUUCUGGACCGACAUUGACGCUGAGGAGCGAAGGCCAGGGGAGCAAACGGG